rnacentral:rRNA from 1 species
GGUGGAGCGAUUUGUCUGGUUAAUUCCGAUAACGAACGAGACUCUAGCCUACUAAAUAGUGACUGAAUUUUUAGUUCAGUAUACUUCUUAGAGGGACAAGGGGUAUCUAGCCCCACGAGAUUGAGCAAUAACAGGUCUGUGAUGCCCUUAGAUGUCCGGGGCUGCACGCGCGCUACACUGAAGGAGUCAACAUGCAUUGAGACCUAGUCCGGAAGGACCGGGUAACCCAAUGAAACUCCUUCGUGAUUGGGAUAGGGAAUUGUAAUUAUUUCCCUUGAACGAGGAAUUCCUAGUAAAUGCGGGUCAUCAUCUCGCGUUGAUUACGUCCCUGCCCUUUGUAC